rnacentral:rRNA from 1 species
ACGGGGUGCAGCAGGCGCGAAACCUUUACAAUGUGCGAAAGCAUGAUAAGGGAACUCCGAGUGCCAGCAUCUAAUGUUGGCUGUCCUUGUGCCUAAAACGCACAAGAUAGCAAGGGCCGGGUAAGACCGGUGCCAGCCGCCGCGGUAACACCGGCGGCCCGAGUGGUAGCCGCUAUUAUUGGGUCUAAAGGGUCCGUAGCCGGUUCGAUAAGUCCUCUGGGAAAUCUGGUUGCUUAACAAUCAGACUGCCAAGGGAUACUGUCGAACUUGAGACCGGGAGAGGUAAGAGGUACUUCAGGGGUAGGAGUGAAAUCUUGUAAUCCCUGGGGGACCAUCUGUGGCGAAGGCGUCUUACCAGAACGGGUCUGACGGUGAGGGACGAAAGCUGGGGGCGCAAACCGGAUUAGAUACCCGGGUAGUCCCAGCCGUAAACGAUGCUCGCUAUGUGUCAGGUACGGUGUGACCGUAUCUGGUGCCGUAGGGAAGCCGUGAAGCGAGCCACCUGGGAAGUACGGCCGCAAGGCUGAAACUUAAAGGAAUUGGCGGGGGAGCACUACAACGGGUGGAGCCUGCGGUUUAAUUGGAUUCAACGCCGGAAAUCUUACCGGGGGAGACAGCAGCAUGAAGGUCAGGCUGAAGACCUUACCAGAUCCGCUGAGAGGAAGUGCAUGGCCGUCGUCAGUUCGUACUGUGAAGCAUCCUGUUAAGUCAGGCAACGAGCGAGACCCGUGCCCACAGUUGCCAGCAUGCCCUUCGGGGCGAUGGGUACUUUGUGGGGACCGCCGCUGCUAAAGCGGAGGAAGGAGCGGGUUACGGUAGGUCAGUGUGCCCCGAAUCUCCCGGGCUACACGCGGGCUACAAUGAUUGGGACAAUGGGUCCCUACUCCGAAAGGAGAUGGUAAUCUCAUAAACCCAACCUUAGUUCGAAUUGAGGGCUGUAACUCGCCCUCAUGAAGCUGGAAUCCGUAGUAAUCGCCGUCUCACAUAGCCGCCGAUGAAUACGUCCUGCUCCUGCACACACCCGUCUCGUUCAAACCACCUCGAGGUGAGUUAUGGGAGUGAGGGGCACGGUAAUCU